rnacentral:lncRNA from 1 species
UUCAUCUAUUCUUGCAGACUUCGUUGUCUCAUUGUUAUGACAAACUGGAGCCAAAUUUAAAAAAUGUUUAAACCACAUUUAGAAGGGCCAGUCACAUGCUGCCACUCAACCAAAAAGGGGCUACAGCAGCAUGUGCAAUCCUUUCAUGUGGCCAACAGGUAGGAAGCUGGACUCCAUGGUGAACAGCAUUAACAAGUACCACAAGUUUCGAGUGACAGAAGCAUAUCAGCUAUGGAAGCAGAUGGAACAAAAUAAUGUUAAAGGGCCUACGAAGACAAAAGUAAAAGACCCUGAUUGACUGAACAUGCCAGGGUCCAGUGACCAUGACUGAUCAAAACAAUUCUUCCAUAUGGCAGAGUCAUUUGGAAGAAAAGCAACAGCAACUGCAGUGGCCACAUUAGUGUAAGCAGGAGCAGUUCUUAGAGGAAGAGGU